UCCUUCCUGAUGCAGCACCUUUCCCCUCCCAGUAUCUUCUUUCUGCUGCUUACUGAAAUAUUCAGCACGGAGCCCAAGAGAAGAAAAUAUGAUACGCCACCAUUAACAGUUGCCCUGACAACAGUGACAUAUCCAAAUCAAACGGAGGUCCAUGAAUGUCGUCUCCUCAGCUGCAGGAAAACAGGCUGCCGGAAUGUCCUCUCAGAGUGUUCUGUCUCCCGCGGCAAAGGCAAGCUGGCCUGAAUAGCUAAAAUCACAAGGCAGGCUGGGCUCCCCUCAGAGGCGGCUGGAGGAUGGCUGGAGCUCUUGCUGCGUCAGGCCCGAGAAGUUGAAAGAUAGGGAAGCCAGCAAAAGGAGGUAGGGGGAUUUAAAUUCCAGCUUCUCCCGCCAAUCAAUCCUCAAGGAACCGUACCAAAGCAAAGACACCCGAGGCUGUUUGUUUCCUUUUCACAGAGUCACAGACACAGAGUCACAGACAGAUCACCGUAUGCAGCUCAAACACAGCUUCUUCAUAGGAGGACUUCAUGGGAAGGACAGAAAACGGAUGGUCACGUUUGAGUAUCUCCUGGUUAAAAGGAAGAAUUAGAAAGCAAGAGGAUUCACCCUUUACAUGGAACAUUGGCACUUUAUCUGGGGAACGUUGACCAACGCAGCACAAAGGUUGAUGCUGACAACAGCAGCAAUGAAUGUAUGUAGGUAGGACAAAGUGCCACUGACGUCUCCUGGAAGGAAAACACUCUGAAAAGAUUUCACUAGCUUGACUAGUCUAACUGAAGUUUUCUCGUUGAAAGAAUUCCAGUUAAAGGGAGUUUGAAUCCAGAGUCAAAACUCAAGUGCUUACUCAGGAAAAAAAAAAGCAGAAGGAUACCUGGAAACACACAUUUUAUGUACACUGUACUUUCAUCCUCUGGUGUCAAUGUGGUGUACAAAAUGAUUCGUUUUGCAGAGUUGCCAAUGUCUUUAGAAUGCAAUGUCAUUUAAUCUGAAAAUUAAAUGUAUAUUAAUGGCACAAAAAA